rnacentral:rRNA from 1 species
CACGGAGUUAGCCGGUGCUCAUUCAUAUGGUACCGUCAGUUGAACUAGAAAGUCCCUUUUCGUCCCAUAUAAAAGAAGUUUACAAUCCAGAGGACCUUCAUCCUCCACGCGGCAUGGUUGGUUCAGAGUUUCCUCCAUUGACCAAUAUUCCUUACUGCUGCCUCCCGUAGGAGUCGGGCCCGUGUCUCAGUGCCCGUGUGACUGGUCGUGCUCUCACACCAGUUAAUGAUCGAAGGCUUGGUGGGCCGUUACCCCGCCAACUACCUAAUCAUACGCACACCCGUCUUCUAGCGUGUUGCCACUAUAAUAUCAGUGAGAUGCCUCACCAACAUGUUACGGGGUAUUAAUCCAAAUUUCUCUGGGCUAUCCCCCACUAAAAGGAAGGUUGUGUACGUGUUCCGCACCCGUUUGCCGGUCGCCGCCAGACCGAAGUCCGCGCUGCCCCUCGACUUGCAUGUAUUAAGCCUGCGCUAGCGUUCAUCCUGAGCCAGGAUCAAACUC